rnacentral:lncRNA from 1 species
UUAAGUGUUUCCUUUAUAUAAGCAAAACAUUAUGCUGUUGGAUAUUGCUUGCUAAUCAUUAACAUGAACUCAUCUUGUGUAAUGUAGGGCCUGAGAGGAACACACAGGGAAGAUGGAGGGAAAGAGUUGAGGGGGCUGUUCUUUCCCUCUCUUCCUUCUUUUGGGGGAACAUAACCAAGUCUUGCCUCCCUGAGAGGGAGUAUGUCUCCUCAGAGAAUGCUUCCAGGAGAUGGAGGACAAGAACUAGAGGGAAAACUUUGUCCCCUUAUUUCCAGAUCUUCUUCCAUAACCCUCAAGAAGAAAUAAAAAUUAAUAAACCUGAAGUCCUCUCAGCUUUUAAGACAUAUAUGUACACCAAACGCUUCCAGUGACCAAAGGCAUCAAUGGCUCCCAGUCAGUCAUUACUCAGUUGCCAUCUGCAGGUUUGUCUUUUGAUUUUUUUAAUAGUUUCAGGCAAGUUUAACUUCUCACCAUCCCACAUUGACUUCUGUGAAUCUUAAAAACUACUCAGAUUGUACCUUAGAAGAUUUGGUUAAGCUAUUCCCCUAUUGUAACAAUGGAGAUACUUGAUCAGGAAUGUCUUGGGAACUUUUAAACUUAUUCCACCCUACUCAGACAGUGUCUUAGGGCAAGAUAAAGUUGUAAACUCCUGAUUGAACAAUGAAAUUCCCCAAUUCAUACUUUAUAGUAAAGCUAGAACCUUAAGCUAGGUCUAUUUUUAGAUCUAAUACAAAAAGGUGUUAAGUACCUAUAAAGAUUAAAUUAGUACCUAAAAAGGUCAAGUAACUUACAAAAGGCAAGCUUAACAAAGACAUGUGAAGUACUCAGAACAUUUAAUCUAACCAGAGAAGGUGAAAACCAAAGAAGAUGAAAACUAAGAAUGGAUAGUCCUGGAAAAAGGCAUCUACUGUGAUUGGUAGAUGUGAAAAUUUAGGAGAGGUGACAUAAGAGAAAAUUUCUUUAAAAGGAAGGGGCAAAAAGUCAAUGGAGGUAAUUGAGUUUGGAGAGCAAUUCAUUUUGGAGUGGAGGGAGAUUCUGAACUCAGUUCAGGAGAUUCAGUGGAGGACUGGAGCUUGCUUGGAGACAGUCUUGUGGUAAAUGAUAAAGACUGACUCACUCCUAGGCCUUUUUGUACUGCUUGGUUUAGCCUGAGCCAGAGCAGUUUAAAUUAAUUCUCUCUCUCUCUCUCUCUCUCUCUCUCUCUCUCUCUCUCUCUCUCUCUCUCUCUCUCUCUCUCUCUCUCUCUCCUUCCCUUAAUUCCUUCUUUCUUUAUUAAUUAAAAUCUCCAUAAAUCCCAGCUGACUUGGGUAUUUUCAUAUUUGGGUAUUUCCCAUGGCGACCACUUAUUUUAGAUUUUAAGUCAAAACACUAAAAAUUAUACUAACAGUUUUGGCAUUUACUACUUCCAAAAAAUAUUUUCUUAGUCUUUGAAUCUGAUUUUGAAGAAGUGACCCUUUCUCAUUGCACAUGAGAAAAUAGAGAGAUGGCAAGAAAGUUUCUUCCAUGUGUAUAUAGAGGUCAAGUGAGUGACUAAGGAUUCCUCUUUGGAAUUUUCAAUUCUAAUAAAUGAUGGACAAUAUAUUUCUGUAUAUAUCA